UCAUUGUUAAAACAACAGCUUGGGUAAGGGCUUCGUUGUUUACCUUUAUACACAACAACAUAUUAACUAUGUACUUGGUAAAAGUUAUUAAUUAAUUGAAUAGAAAAUAUUAUAACAAAUAUUAUUGGAUGCCGAAUUGACUUCAAAUAGGUGCCGAUUUAACCAGGUGCCGAUUUGAGUUGUACAUUUCAAAUCCUCUGCGAUCGUUUGCGGUAUUUUCUUGA
rnacentral:lncRNA from 1 species